UGAAUGCACUAACUGUAUGUCGCUCUGGAUAAGAGCGUCUGCUAAAUUACUAAAA
rfam:Salmo salar isolate Sally breed double haploid chromosome ssa20, whole genome shotgun sequence.